rnacentral:rRNA from 1 species
GCAAGUCGAGCGCUUCACUUCGGUGAAGAGCGGCGAACGGGUGAGUAACACGUAGGUUACCUGCCCCUAGGUGAGGGACAACCGUGGGAAACUACGGCUAAUACCACAUAUGGUCUACGGAUCAAAGGCUUCGGCCGCCUGGGGAUGGGCCUGCGUCCCAUUAUUUAAUCCUAGUUGGUGGGGUAACGGCCUACCAAGGGUACGAUGGGUAGCUGGUCUGAGAGGAUGAUC